rnacentral:rRNA from 1 species
CCUACGGGCGGCAGCAGUGAGGAAUAUUGGUCAAUGGGCGUAAGCCUGAACCAGCCAAGUCGCGUGAGGGAUGAAGGCUCUAUGGGUCGUAAACCUCUUUUAUAUGGGAAUAAAGUGUGGUAUGUAUACUGCUUUGCAUGUACCUUAUGAAUAAGGAUCGGCUAACUCCGUGCCAGCAGCCGCGGUAAUACGGGGGGUCCGAGCGUUAUCCGGAUUCAUUGGGCUUAAAGGGUUCGUAGGCGGUAUGUUAAGUCUGAUGUGAAAGCCCGGGGCUCAACCGUGGUGUUGCAUUGGAUACUGGCAUCCUAGAGUACGGUAGAGGUAGGGGGAAUUCGUGGUGUAGCGGUGAAAUGCUUAGAUAUCACGAGGAACAUCGAUGGCGAAGGCGGUUUACUGGACCAUUAUUGACGCUGAGGAUCGAAAGCCAGGGGAGCAAAUGGGAUUAGAUACCCCAGUAGUC